UAUAUUGAGAUUUUGCCCAUUCUGAGAGUGAGCGCGGGGCGCAUGCCAUACACGUACAACUCGAACCAUAACGCGGGGCAACCUGGUGGCGAGUGGCGAACGGGUGAGUAAUACAUCGGAACGUGCCCAGUAAUGGGGGAUAGCCCGGCGAAAGCCGGAUUAAUACCGCAUACGACCUACGGGUGAAAGAGGGGGAUCGCAAGACCUCUCGUUAUUGGAGCGGCCGAUGUCAGAUUAGGUAGUUGGUGGGGUAAAGGCCCACCAAGCCGACGAUCUGUAGCUGGUCUGAGAGGACGACCAGCCACACUGGGACUGAGACACGGCCCAGACUCCUACGGGAGGCAGCAGUGGGGAAUUUUGGACAAUGGACGCAAGUCUGAUCCAGCAAUGCCGCGUGCGGGAAGAAGGCCUUCGGGUUGUAAACCGCUUUUGUCAGGGAAGAAAUCUUCUGGGCUUAAUACCUCGGGUAGUGAUGACGGUACCUGCAAGAAUAAGCACCGGCUACCUACGC
rnacentral:rRNA from 1 species